GAUGAACGCUGGCGGCGUGCCUAAUACAUGCAAGUCGAGCGAACGGACGAGAAGCUUGCUUCUCUGAUGUUAGCGGCGGACGGGUGAGUAACACGUGGAUAACCUACCUAUAAGACUGGGAUAACUUCGGGAAACCGUAGCUAAUACCGGAUAAUAUUUUGAACCGCAUGGUUCAAAAGUGAAAGACGGUCUUGCUGUCACUUAUAGAUGGAUCCGCGCUGCAUUAGCUAGUUGGUAAGGUAACGGCUUACCAAGGCAACGAUGCAUAGCCGACCUGAGAGGGUGAUCGGCCAAACUGGAACUGAGACACGGUCCAGACUCCUACGGGAGGCAGCAGUAGGGAAUCUUCCGCGAUGGGCGAAAGCCUGACGGAGCAACGCCGCGUGAGUGAUGAAGGUCUUCGGAUCGUAAAACUCUGUUAUUAGGGAAGAACAUAUGUGUAAGUAACUGUGCACAUCUUGACGGUACCUAAUCAGAAAGCCACGGCUAACUACGUG
rnacentral:rRNA from 1 species